rnacentral:rRNA from 1 species
GUGAGGAAUAUUGGUCAAUGGGCGAGAGCCUGAACCAGCCAAGUCGCGUGAAGGAUGAAGGUUUUAUGAAUUGUAAACUUCUUUUGCAGGGGAAUAAAGUACGGUACGUGUACCGUUUUGUAUGUACUCUGCGAAUAAGGAUCGGCUAACUCCGUGCCAGCAGCCGCGGUAAUACGGAGGAUCCAAGCGUUAUCCGGAUUUAUUUGGUUUAAAGGGUGCGCAGGCGGGUUGAUAAGUCAGCGGUGAAAGUUUGCAGCUUAACUGUAAAAUUGCCGUUGAAACUGUCGAUCUUGAGUGCAAAUGAGGUAAGCGGAAUGUGUUGUGUAGCGGUGAAAUGCAUAGAUAUCACGCAGAACUCCGAUUGCGAAGGCAGCUUACUGGGAUGCAACUGACACUGAUGCACGAAAGCGUGGGUAUCAAACAGGAUUAGAUACCCUGGUAGUCC